rnacentral:rRNA from 1 species
AGUGAACGCUGGCGGUAGGCCUAACACAUGCAAGUCGAACGGCAGCACAGUAAGAGCUUGCUCUUACGGGUGGCGAGUGGCGGACGGGUGAGGAAUACAUCGGAAUCUACUUUUUCGUGGGGGAUAACGUAGGGAAACUUACGCUAAUACCGCAUACGACCUACGGGUGAAAGCAGGGGAUCUUCGGACCUUGCGCGAUUGAAUGAGCCGAUGUCGGAUUAGCUAGUUGGCGGGGUAAAGGCCCACCAAGGCGACGAUCCGUAGCUGGUCUGAGAGGAUGAUCUGCCACACUGGAACUGAGACACGGUCCAGACUCCUACGGGAGGCAGCAGUGGGGAAUAUUGGACAAUGGGCGCAAGCCUGAUCCAGCCAUGCCGCGUGGGUGAAGAAGGCCUUCGGGUUGUAAAGCCCUUUUGUUGGGAAAGAAAAGCAGCAGGUUAAUACCCCGCUGUUCUGACGGUACCCAAAGAAUAAGCACCGGCUAACUUCGUG